CCUACGGGGCGCAGCAGUGAGGAAUAUUGGUCAAUGGUCGGGAGACUGAACCAGCCAAGCCGCGUGAGGGAGGAAGGUACAGAGUAUCGUAAACCUCUUUUGUCAGGGAACAAAGGCGGGGACGUGUCCCCGGAUGAGUGUACCUGAAGAAAAAGCAUCGGCUAACUCCGUGCCAGCAGCCGCGGUAAUACGGAGGAUGCGAGCGUUAUCCGGAUUUAUUGGGUUUAAAGGGUGCGUAGGCGGGUUGAUAAGUUAGAGGUGAAAUGUCGGGGCUCAACCCCGACACUGCCUCUGAUACUGUUGGACUAGAGAAUAGUAGCGGUAGGCGGAAUGUAUGGUGUAGCGGUGAAAUGCUUAGAGAUCAUACAGAACACCGAUUGCGAAGGCAGCUUACCAAACUAUAUCUGACGUUGAGGCACGAAAGCGUGGGUAGCAAACAGGAUUAGAUAUCCCAGUAGUC
rnacentral:rRNA from 1 species